rnacentral:misc_RNA from 1 species
GAUGAAGAACGUAGCGAAAUGCGAUAAGUAAUGUGAAUUGCAGAAUUCAGUGAAUCAUCGAAUCUUUGAACGCACAUUGCGCCCGCCAGCACUCUGGCGGGCAUGCCUGUCCGAGCGUCAUUUCAACCCUCAGGGCCCCUUCGGGGGACCUGGCGUUGGGGAUCGGCCCGCCCCCGUGCGGCGCCGUCCCCGAAAUAUAGUGGCGGUCUCGCUGCAGCCUGCCCUGCGUAGUAGCACACCUCGCACUGGAGAGCGGCGCGGCCACGCCGUGAAACCCCCAACUUCUGAAUGUUGACCUCGGAUCAGGUAGGAAUACCCGCUGAACUUAAGCAUAUAAUAAGCGGAGGA